AUUGAACGCUGGCGGCAUGCUUUACACAUGCCAGUUGAACGGUAACAGGCCGCCAGGUGCUGACGAGUGGCGAACGGGUGAGUAAUGCAUCGGAACGUGCCCAGUCGUGGGGGAUAACUACUCGAAAGAGUAGCUAAUACCGCAUACGAUCUAUGGAUGAAAGCGGGGGACCGUAAGGCCUCGCGCGCUUGGAGCGGCCGAUGUCAGAUUAGGUAGUUGGUGGGGUAAAGGCUCACCAAGCCAACGAUCUGUAGCUGGUCUGAGAGGACGACCAGCCACACUGGGACUGAGACACGGCCCAGACUCCUACGGGAGGCAGCAGUGGGGAAUUUUGGACAAUGGGCGCAAGCCUGAUCCAGCAAUGCCGCGUGCAGGAAGAAGGCCUUCGGGUUGUAAACUGCUUUUGUACGGAACGAAACGGCUCUGGUUAAUACCCGGGGCUAAUGACGGUACCGUAAGAAUAAGCACCGGCUAACUACGUG
rnacentral:rRNA from 1 species